UAAUUACUCCCUCCGUUCGGAAUUACUUGUCGUGAAAAUGAAUGUAUCUAGAACUAAAAUACGUGUAGAUACAUCCAUUUGUGCGACGAGUAAUUCCGAACGGAGGGAGUAGUAU
rnacentral:pre_miRNA from 1 species